UUUGUGUUUAGUUUGUUCACCUAACCCCCCCGCACCUCCGAUGAGCACGGUUGGCUAUGUACAAUGUGAAAGAAAUUCGACAUACAUUAAUACAAGUAGGUUUCUGACAAGCAAAUUGUGUAUGUCUCGAGUGUUCUCCCUCGUGUGCAUGUGUUUUCCCCAGUCAUUUCAAUUUCCUCUCAUAUAAGACGUAAUUGGCCAAACAAUUGGCUGCGUACGGUGCGAAAGAAGCUCAACUUGCAUCGUACAACAUAUACGCUUAAGCGGCCCCCUCCCAUGCCAUUGUACCUACUGCAGCGUAUCGCGAGGUGGAGACGGCGCACACCUUUCUGGUGAAUUACUAUGCCUCAAGCUGCACAGGGUACAACAACAAUCUGGUGCUGGACCAGCUGGUGGUGGUGCUCAAUGGCCUCCUUCGCCGGCUGUACUGCCAGGUGGUGCGGCCCAUGCUCGAGUGUCGGUCCAUUGUGUACCGCGACGUGGGCCGGCAGUGCCUGCUGGAGAUCUCCUUUGUCGGUUCGCACACUCGACACCACAGCCACACCUUGGACGUUUUGGGUGUCCUACCCGCGAUCAGAUUCCGAUUGGUUAGAGGACAGAUACAGAGUGAUCCAUCAUUUGCUAAUGCUAUUUGACCGUGAAUGUGUGUGCUAACUGCGUGAAUGCAUUUGUGCGCUGACCAGGGGUACACAAUGUUGUGGGUGUCCCGUGGCCAUAUCUAAACGUUGUGAGGGUGUGUGAACGCCCACGGGACACCCACAGUGGCUGUGCUUCUGCCAUAGUUGCUUACAUUAUGUACCUAUGACACACUGAUAUUGAGCAAUUAUGCCGAUAAAUGUCCCUAACUCAAGAGAGUUAGGGACAUUUAUCGAGAGAGUUAGGGACUACGUUUUCCCAUUGAGCUACUCUUUAUAAUGUUUUUAAACGUAUUAAUUUGGCUGUCUUACAUAAUUUUAUUGAACAUCUCUUUAACAAUAAUGUUCUAGAAAUGUACAAACAUAGUAGUAGCCUUUUAACAGAGCAUUGCUUUUUAUAUGACACAUGAACCUUACACCAAUACACGAGUUUUGUUUGUUUAUUAUUGAGGCCUUGCAACUUGGAAACAUGCUGUGAUCUUUGUGCUUUUCCCCAAGUUGACCCUUAUGGCAAAAACUGGCUGAAGACAUGCGAUGGUCUUUCUAUGAAGAAAUGUGAAGUCUCCUUAAACCUCAGAGAAAAAGAGGCUAGUAAUAUUGUCGAGUCAUUUUUCAAGAAGCAGGAGAGAAUAGUGCGCUUCCUGGAAACUCUGCCAUCCAUAUAUCUCAUUGGAGGCUCGUUGUACAAGUUUAAAGAUGCACACUGCAUGCCGGGUUAUGGGAAGGACAAGAUCAUUCAUCCCGAUUGUUCGAGCUGCUGUGUGGUGUGCAGCCCUCAGAUGUACAGCUCCAAUACAGACGUCAGAUGUGUGGAGUGCAAGAAUGCUACCCAAUACGGAGCUAACGAGUGCUGAUGACACCAUCAGGUUGUGCCAUUGGAGAGCACGUGCAAUAAUUAUAUAAGCAUGUACUGUCAAUAUGGAAAUUAUAUGCUUCAUUCACUCAAAGCAACUGACAUCACAUCUCAUAAAUUCAAAGGCCAGCUGUCCCUCUGCGGCAUGAGAUGACAUAGCACUGGCCUGCAAGUGGGCAUUAGUCUGCUAGUAGGUGGCGAUGAUUGCUACGUGUGAUUCCAAUUGAGACAUUUGAGUAACGUGUGGGUAAUCUUUUUAAAAAUAAAAUUGAGCAGAUUUGGUCCAUGACGUCAGCACACAAUGCCCAAAAGGUUUCAAAUGAUGUCACGAGAUCUUUUACAUCCACAGUGAAGCAGCGGUUUAUUCACCAUAAGUAUUGACCUGGGCGGCCUAUGGGAUUUGAACCACAAACCUUUGCAGCAAGCGGUGAAUACGCUACCGCUGGGUGAUGCCACCACAUGCGACAUUUUAUUGAACGAUGCUGUAUAAAGCAAUUGUUAUUCAUUCACGGCCUCAUUCCACAGCUAUUCCUCAAUUUAAAAAAACAGCUUCA